UACGUAGGGGGCAAGCGUUGUUCGGAAUUACUGGGCGUAAAGGGCGCGUAGGCGGCACGACAAGUCGGAGGUGAAAGCCCGGGGCUCAACCCCGGAAUGUCUUUCGAAACUGUCGAGCUAGAGUGCAGAAGAGGCAACUGGAAUUCCCAGUGUAGCGGUGAAAUGCGCAGAUAUCAGGAGGAACACCGAUGGCGAAGGCAGGUCUCUGGGCCACUACUGACGCUGAGAAGCGAAAGCAUGGGGAGCGAACAGG
rnacentral:rRNA from 1 species